UACAGAGGGGGCAAGCGUUGUUCGGAAUUACUGGGCGUAAAGGGCGCGUAGGCGGCCUGCUAAGUCGAACGUGAAAAUCCCUGGGCUCAACCCAGAAUCGCUUCCGAUACUGCGGUGACUGGAGUCCGGUAGGGGAGUGUGGAAUUCCUGGUGUAGCGGUGAAAUGCGCAGAUAUCAGGAGGAACACCAACAGCGAAGGCAGCACUCUGGGCUGGUACUGACGCUGAGGAGCGAAAGCGUGGGUAGCGAACAGG
rnacentral:rRNA from 1 species